rnacentral:rRNA from 1 species
CAGGCUUAACACAUGCAAGUCGAGGGGCAUCAGGAAGAAAGCUUGCUUUCUUUGCUGGCGACCGGCGCACGGGUGAGUAACACGUAUCCAACCUGCCCUUUACUCGGGGAUAGCCUUUCGAAAGAAAGAUUAAUACCCGAUAGCAUAAUGAUUCCGCAUGGUUUCAUUAUUAAAGGAUUCCGGUAAAGGAUGGGGAUGCGUUCCAUUAGGUUGUUGGUGAGGUAACGGCCCACCAAGCCUUCGAUGGAUAGGGGUUCUGAGAGGAAGGUCCCCCACAUUGGAACUGAGACACGGUCCAAACUCCUACGGGAGGCAGCAGUGAGGAAUAUUGGUCAAUGGGCGCUAGCCUGAACCAGCCAAGUAGCGUGAAGGAUGAAGGCUCUAUGGGUCGUAAACUUCUUUUAUAUAAGAAUAAAGUGCAGUAUGUAUACUGUUUUGUAUGUAUUAUAUGAAUAAGGAUCGGCUAACUCCGUGCCAGCAGCCGCGGUAAUACGGAGGAUCCGAGCGUUAUCCGGAUUUAUUGGGUUUAAAGGGAGCGUAGGUGGACUGGUAAGUCAGUUGUGAAAGUUUGCGGCUCAACCGUAAAAUUGCAGUUGAUACUGUCAGUCUUGAGUACAGUAGAGGUGGGCGGAAUUCGUGGUGUAGCGGUGAAAUGCUUAGAUAUCACGAAGAACUCCGAUUGCGAAGGCAGCUCACUGGACUGCAACUGACACUGAUGCUCGAAAGUGUGGGUAUCAAACAGGAUUAGAUACCCUGGUAGUCCACACAGUAAACGAUGAAUACUCGCUGUUUGCGAUAUACAGUAAGCGGCCAAGCGAAAGCAUUAAGUAUUCCACCUGGGGAGUACGCCGGCAACGGUGAAACUCAAAGGAAUUGACGGGGGCCCGCACAAGCGGAGGAACAUGUGGUUUAAUUCGAUGAUACGCGAGGAACCUUACCCGGGCUUAAAUUGCAGUGGAAUGAUGUGGAAACAUGUCAGUGAGCAAUCACCGCUGUGAAGGUGCUGCAUGGUUGUCGUCAGCUCGUGCCGUGAGGUGUCGGCUUAAGUGCCAUAACGAGCGCAACCCUUAUCUUUAGUUACUAACAGGUUAUGCUGAGGACUCUGGAGAGACUGCCGUCGUAAGAUGUGAGGAAGGCGGGGAUGACGUCAAAUCAGCACGGCCCUUACGUCCGGGGCUACACACGUGUUACAAUGGGGGGUACAGAAGGCAGCUACCUGGUGACAGGAUGCUAAUCCCAAAAGCCUCUCUCAGUUCGGAUCGAAGUCUGCAACCCGACUUCGUGAAGCUGGAUUCGCUAGUAAUCGCGCAUUAGCCACGGCGCGGUGAAUACGUUCCCGGGCCUUGUACACACCGCCCGUCAAGCCAUGGGAGCCGGGGGUACCUGAAGUACGUAACCGCAAGGAUCGUCCUAGGGUAAAACUGGUGACUGGGGCUAAGUCG